CUAGGACUGCGAGUUGUGCACCUUCGAAACAAGACACUGAGUCGUCAACAUGCAGGAAAACACAGACUAAGAUGGUUGAUGGCUAACUGCAGGAUGCGUUUCGCUAGAAAUGGCUCAGCUCUUAUUACAAGUUUUGUUCACUGAUUUCAACGCUUGACCCUCUUCCUGAGGUCACUGGGUGGCAUCAACCUUAACCCUGCCAGGAUCAAGGAAGGUGGGAGUGCAGGAGAAGUGUCAGUAUCAUCCCAGGCGACUUGCUGUAUAACAACCAACAACAUAACAUCAUUUAACCUUUACAACAUGUGUAUUGAUCCAUCUGGUUGUUAUCAUGCCGUGAUCAGAGCUCAGCUCGGGUGGCUCAGCUUCAUGGGCUGGUUGAGUCAUCCUCA